rnacentral:misc_RNA from 1 species
UUAAGCUCAGCGGGUAGUCCUACCUGAUUUGAGAUCCAAUCAAAAAAAUAGACUUUAGGAUUAGAAGCUUCCUUUAACCCAACCCGGCUCUAGUCCAGAAGACUAGAAUCCUCAGCGAAUAGUCUAUUACGCCAAGUCAAUCCGAAGUUCGGUUGCGGAUGCUAAUGCAUUACGAACGAGCUGAGCCGAAGCAGAGCAGC